rnacentral:lncRNA from 1 species
UUCCAUGACCUAAUAACGAAUUAACAAAAUGCAAUCAAGAUCACAUAUGCAUGAGCAGUUUCCAGAAUCCAUCGGAUAGUGAAUUUUUCUACUUCACAGAAGUUGGAUAGAAGUAUUACUUUAUUUACACAAGCGCAGAUCGAUACCAUGUCAAGAAUGAAGAAUCUCAUGCUAUUUGACUGAAGACAUCAAAUAUCCUUUUGGAGGCAAUCUGAUCUUUUUAUUUCAUUUCAUGAUCACGAGCCAUCUAACACACAAGCAUUACACUUACUUUGCUCAAACAACUUCCUCCAGUUGCUGGAAUUAAGGCAGGAAAAUAAUAUCUCGUCAAAGAAAAGCCUUGUCCAAACUGAAAAUACUAAUGGAAGCAGUGGAGAUUACGGCACUAUACCUGCUAUAUUUUUUGUUUAGUAGGAAUGUUAGCAAUCUCAGAAUUAGAUCUUUUCUCUCUCUCUCUCUCUUAUCUCCAUUUUCUUUCUAUAUGAUCUCUCAAUUUAAGAGGGAGCUAAGCAUCUCUUUUUUCUCCCAUUAAGCCAACGACCACUUUCCUUGUUUAGUUGACUUUUCAACCUUCUCUUUUGUUUUUUUGUUUUUUUCUUAGGCCCCAGAAGUUCAUUUUUACUUGGUCAAAACCCAAGUAUUACAGUAACUUCAUCACCAUAAGUCAAUUACAACAUACUGCACCAAACUACUAGGGAUAAGAAUUAACACCAAAUCAGUAACUCCUCUACCAAUUGGCGUGCUUCAACUCUUAAACUUGCGGAUGAACACCCCAAACUAGCUUUUAUGUAUUAAUGUAAAAAUAUAGUACACUUGUUCAACAAAAGCAAAUUUGAACAGUGACAUAAUUAUCUGCAACAAUCAAAUUGGACAGAACAAAUGUUGCUUAUUUUAUGGCAGCAACAUCUAAAGCCUCCAAACUAAGCUCCAAAGAUUGAUCUUCUUCCUUACCAUUCCACAAUCAAGCUUCCUAAGCAGCACAGAUGGAGUUUUUGAAGGCGAAUCAGGGAGAGACUCAACAACGGAACAAUGCAGCACCAGCGAUUGAGGGCACGGCUCAAUCGUGGACCAACCUUCUUGCCCAACAUGAGAAAAUGUCGCAAAAGCUAAGGAACAGACAAUAAGUUGGCCAAAGCAGUCUCCACCCCUGCAUCAAACAUAACCCAUCCCCACUAGAGACGCAAUCUUCAAAUUCAUAGUUGAACUAACCAACAACCAAAUAUUUCUCAAGCACAACUCAAUGUCGUUCUUCGACACCUUUUUGUUAACUGAAAUCUUCAGGUAACUUAAAAGAAAAGCUACUUACUGUCAGAUUCAGUCAACUUUGUACUCUGAAUUUCACAUCAGUGCAGGCGACAGUCGACUAGCAUAGAGUUUGUAACCUUCAAAAAGCAAGACCAUCACAUUAUAGAGGAUCCAUACAGAGGAUGACAGAAUGAAAACCAACCAUGCAAAUAGAAACAAAUUAAAUGGUGUUUCUGUUGCAACAUUAGAAAUCAGAAGGUACAUCCGGACCUUGUCAGCAAGACAAGAAUUAUUUUGCUACAAUUGGCCAUAAAAUGCAAACUUUUAUGUUUCUGAAGGUUUGAAGCACUGAGUAUUGAAUAAAAGACACAUUGCAAAUGCUAAAAACAAUAGUAUAGAUGAAAGUUAGAAGCAAAAGUUCUUCCAAACACACCAUAGUGUCAGAGCUCAAUAACCCCUAGUGAAAGAAGAAACCAAUGGACUUCUAUUAUCACAGUUCAAGCUUUUGCAUUUUCCCCCAGUCAGAAGGAGAUGAGGAGAAUUCCAUUCAAAUAGAAAGCUAGCAAAAAAAAAAAAAAAAGUAAGGACAAAAUGAACAAGCCAUAUCACCAUCACAACAAUUCGGACAUUAGCAUCCUUUUCCGUGUGAAAUUAGCUGCCUUCAACACCAUUUCACCACGUUAUUAGCUAACUGGUAUGAGUGAGGACAUCCUCGGAGAAUCUUAUCAGAAGGAAGUCCACAUACUCAUGAAGAAAAUGAUACUUUGGAUCAUAGGUACAAACAAAUGGUUCACAGGAGAUUGUUCAUCUUUCCACUUCUCAUCACCCCUCAAGGAUCCGAGAACAUGAAAGAAAUGGCUAUGAAAGUAGAACCUCAUCAAUCAAGGUAAUCUUCCCGUUCAACCUAAAGUUAGUUCACAUUAGUUCCAACAACUCUGCAGUCAAUUUCCAUGCUACCUAGACAGGGUGAUAAAAUCAACCUAAACUUGUAAUAGGCUUGUAAGUCUUGAUAAUCUUGCUAUACUUGCUCUAUGACUGCUCAGAUAACAUAAGGAAAAUUCACCACCAUUGACAGGAAACCUAAUCGAAAGCUGCUAUAGCUAUCUCAUUACACCAUAGCAAACUAGUAGAAGAGAAUAACCGAGUAGAUUUCUGCACCUAACAGGAAUCACAAGCUGAUAAAUAUAACAGGACAACUAAACAUGCUUCACUGAACAUGCAGAAAAGCUCUAAUUAGUCUUAUUUUAUUUCCUCCAUGUGCAGACAUCGAACAUCCAAAAUCAGACCAAUAAUAGCAACUCAAAACCUCAAAUCACCAGGAUGCGCAUGCACCAAUCACAACAAGAAUCAAACCAAUCAAUCGGUGACAAGAAUGGAUUAAUGUUAAAAGGGGUCCAAUCACCUGGACUCUGAAGAUACGGCAACCAGAAGCAAUGAAGACCCAACAUGAAGAUCCUUCCAUUCAAGCUGGAGCACAAGGGUCAAAGCAAUCAGUGAGCAUGAAUCUCACUUUCGAAUUAGUCAUCCCAUCGUCGUCCACCAGAAGGAAGACAGAAACGGACCACCAGAUGAUGCUGGACCCCUCAAUCUCUUCCCGUUCUCUCUGUGCUCGAUUUCCACCCUCCUCUUCUUACACCCAUCCCUAGAAUCACAAGAAGCAAUGCAAUCAGCUUAAAGAGCGUCCUCCUUCAUCCAUAUCCCAGAUAUUUGGUUUGGAUCUCACACCAUUG